GGGAUUGUGACUCAGUGGUAGGGUGCUUGCCUACCAUGCAUGGAGGCCUAAGUUCGAUUCCUCAGUACCA
rnacentral:tRNA from 1 species